AUUGAACGCUGGCGGCAGGCCUAACACAUGCAAGUCGAACGAGUGGCGGACGGGUGAGUAAUGUCUGGGAAACUGCCUGAUGGAGGGGGAUAACUACUGGAAACGGUAGCUAAUACCGCAUACCAUCAGAUGUGCCCAGAUGGGAUGAGCUUGUUGGUGGGGUAACGUCUCACCAAGGCGACGAUCCCUAGCUGGCCUGAGAGGAUGACCAGCCACACUGGAACUGAGACACGGUCCAGACUCCGACGGGAGGCAGCAGUGGGGAAUAUUGCACAAGGGGGGAGAGCCUGAUACAGCAAUGCGGCGGGUAUGAAGAAGGCCUUCGGGUUGGAAAGUAAUGUAAGCGGGGAGGCGUUACCAGCAGAAGAAGCACCGGCUAACUCCGUGCCAGCAGCCGCGGUAAUAC
rnacentral:rRNA from 1 species